AGCGAACGCUGGCGGCAGGCUUAACACAUGCAAGUCGAACGGUCCUUCGGGAUAGUGGCGGACGGGUGAGUAACACGUGGGAACGUACCCUUAGGUUCGGAACAACACAGGGCAACUUGUGCUAAUACCGGAUAAGCCCUUCGGGGGCAAGAUUUAUCGCCUUUGGAGCGGCCCGCGUCUGAUUAGCUUGUUGGUGAGGUAAUGGCUCACCAAGGCUACGGUCAGUGACUGGUCUGAGAGGAUGGCCAGCCACACGGGGACUGAGACACGGCCCAGACUCCUACGGGAGGCAGCAGUGGGGAAUCUUGCGCAAUGGGCGAAAGCCUGACGCAGCCAUGCCGCGUGGAUGAUGAAGGUCUUAGGAUUGUAAAAUCCUUUCACCGGGGACGAUAAUGACGGUACCCGGAGAAGAAGCCCCGGCUAACUUCGUGCCAGCCGCCGCCGUAA
rnacentral:rRNA from 1 species